CGCCCUGCGAGUUCCAGGCCCAGUGGGCCUGAGUACCAGACGCGGUCAUGGUUAUCUGGACGCUGCUGUUAUUGUUUCUGAAUCCCGGAACUGGGGCCUGACUCCCUAGAGAGACUGAGGGUGCCGAGAUGAGUUUCCAGUGCUGACCAGUGCAGCUGUAUUUUGCUAAAAGGUGUUUGGGGUGUUUUUUUUUUCUAACCUUUCCCCCGUUUUCUCUUCUCACCUUUUUAUUUUUACCCAUUUUUCGUCUUGCUGUUUUUUCAGUUAGAAGUGGGUGCUGUCAGUGGUGAAAUAAAAUUAGGACCGAAGCCUUUCCAGUUGGUGCUUACUCAGUCCGUGCUGACCCAUGGUCAGGGCUUGGAGCAGAGCUGUAAGGGAGGGCGGAGUCCUCCAGUAGAGGUGAGGCAAGAGCUGCAUUCUGGCAGGGUUUCCAGCCUGGCAGACGACGUGCUCUGUAAUGCUUUUCUGAAUUGCCUUAGCCAGAAGGAAUAGGGAACUGCAUAUUUCGUUUACUAGAUUUGAGGAUGUCUGCUAUGUGCCACGCUGUCUGGCAUUGGGAGCGAUUUAUGAUUUGCUUCUCUAUCAUUUACUUACUGUUUUUGCUCAGCAGUAAGAAUUGAGGACUUCCUGUGAACAUCUAGCAUGCAAACCUAUGCAAAACAGUAUUUGGGAUCCAUAGGUAAGGUCUUCUCCAAAUCCUUAAAGAUUGUCUUGUAUGAAUUCUGUUAUAGGUCAUUGCGGAGUGGAUCAAAGCAGAAAUAAGCCUCUCGGGCCAGCCCAAGACUUCACUGAAAGCAGUAACAUACCUAAAGCAGGAAUGCCUCAAUCAGGAAUUUAGCCAAGAAACAAACAAACAAAAAAAGCCUGGGAAGUAAAUAAUUUGGCAAGAUCCCUGUCUAAAGGGAAAGUCUCCUGAGCAGGUACAAAACCUAUCUUGUUCUAAUAGUGGAGGUAGUUUGGUCUAUCAAAGUUUUAUGUGAUUCUAUUAAGUCAUACAACUAAACCUAUUAUUCCUUUACUUUUCUCAAUAAGUGCAGUUCUGAAUAUUAUUUUAAUUUCCAUAUGGUUUUUCUACAAUGAGAGAACGGCUUGGCCAAAUGAAAUAAAUAGCCAUUUCCUAUGACAAUUACAUUUUUCACUGUAAAUUAAUACAUUGGUAUUUUUAUUUUUAUUUUUUUAAAAAAAUUUUUUUUUUCAACGUUUUUUAUUUAUUUUUGGGAC
rnacentral:lncRNA from 1 species